CAGCCUGUAUGCCAUACACGACCGAUAAACACGCCCGUGUGUCUAGGCCGUGUCAAAACUGUAUGGUGUAAUGACUUUAAAUCAUAGGGCACCCCAGGGGACACAUGGCCGUGUAACAUAACCGUGUGUCGCACACGGCUGAGACACACACCCGUGUCUCUGCCCGUGUGGACAAAAAUAGGUUAUUUGCAAAGCCAAAUUUCGACCCAAAAAGGGUCAUCCCUACAAGCAUAAAACAAAGCACAU
rnacentral:lncRNA from 1 species